GUGCUCGCUUCAGCAGCACAUAUACUAAAACUGGAACGAUACAGACAAGAUUAGCAUGGCCCCUGCGCAAGGAUGACACACAAAUUCGUGAAGUGUUCCAUGUUUUC
rnacentral:snRNA from 1 species